rnacentral:rRNA from 1 species
AGCAGUAGCCGCGGGAAUACGUAGGGUGCAAGCGUUAAUCGGAAUUACUGGGCGUAAAGCGUGCGCAGGCGGUUAUAUAAGUCAGAUGUGAAAUCCCCGGGCUCAACCUGGGAACUGCAUUUGAGACUGUAUGGCUAGAGUGUGUCAGAGGGGGGUAGAAUUCCACGUGUAGCAGUGAAAUGCGUAGAUAUGUGGAGGAAUACCGAUGGCGAAGGCAGCCCCCUGGGAUAACACUGACGCUCAUGCACGAAAGCGUGGGGAGCAAACAGGAUUAGAUACCCCUGUAGUCCCUGUCUCUUAUAC